CGGGACGUGGCGCAGUUUGGUAGCGCACUUGACUGGGGGUCAAGGGGUCGUCGGUUCGAAUCCGGCCGUCCCGAC
rnacentral:tRNA from 9 species